GAUGAACGCUGGCGGCGUGCCUAAUACAUGCAAGUCGAGCGAACAGACGAGGAGCUUGCUCCUCUGACGUUAGCGGCGGACGGGUGAGUAACACGUGGAUAACCUACCUAUAGGACUGGGAUAACUUCGGGAAACCGGAGCUAAUACCGGAUAAUAUAUUGAACCGCAUGGUUCAAUAGUGAAAGACGGUUUUGCUGUCACUUAUAGAUUGAUCCGCGCCGCAUUAGCUAGUUGGUAAGGUAACGGCUUACCAAGGCAACGAUGCGUAGCCGACCUGAGAGGGUGAUCGGCCACACUGGAACUGAGACACGGUCCAGACUCCUACGGGAGGCAGCAGUAGGGAAUAUUCCGCAAUGGGCGAAAGCCUGACGGAGCAACGCCGCGUGAGUGAUGAAGGUCUUCGGAUCGUAAAACUCUGUUAUUAGGGAAGAACAAAUGUGUAAGUAACUAUGCACGUCUUGACGGUACCUAAUCAGAAAGCCACGGCUAACUACGUG
rnacentral:rRNA from 1 species